GUCUACGGCCAUACCACCCUGAACGCACCCGAUCUUGUCUGAUCUCAGAAACCAAGUAGGGUUGGGCCUGGUGAGCACUCGGGUGGGAGGGGUGUGUAUUUAUGGAGACACUUCGGACUCUGCUGGCA
rnacentral:rRNA from 1 species